AGUGAACGCUGGCGGCAGGCCUAACACAUGCAAGUCGAACGGUAGCACAGUGAGGCUUUCUUCUUUCCGGUGGCGAGGCGGAGGCGUGAGUGAUGUCCGUCAAACUCUCCGUUUGCGGGGGAUAUCUCGUAGGAACACUUACGCUUAUCGCGUAUCCUCGCUACGGCUAAGAGCGGGACAUUUUCGCACCUUGCGCUCGUGUAUGAGCCGAUGGGGGAUUAGCUAGUGGGUGGGGUAAGGGCCCACCUAGGCGACGAUCCGUAGCUGGUCUGAGAGGAUGACCAGCCACACUGGAACUGAGACACGGUCCAGACUCCUACGGGAGGCAGCAGUGGGGAAUAUUGCACAAUGGGCGCAAGCCUGAUGCAGCCAUGCCGCGUGUGUGGAGAAGGCCUUCGGGUUGUAAAGUCCUUUCGGUGGGGAAGAAAAGAGUAAGGUUAAUACCUUUGCGUAUUGACGGUACCCGAAGAAGAAGCACCGGCUAACUCCGUG
rnacentral:rRNA from 1 species